AACUUUCAACAACGGAUCUCUUGGUUCCGGCAUCGAUGAAGAACGCAGCGAAAUGCGAUAAGUAAUGUGAAUUGCAGAGUUUAGUGAAUCAUCGAAUCUUUGAACGCACAUUGCGCCCCGUGGCAUCCCGCGGGGCAUGCCUGUCCGAGCGUCAU
rnacentral:rRNA from 1 species